UAAGGAAUAUUGGACAAUGGAGGCAACUCUGAUCCAGCCAUCCCGCGUGUAGGAAGAAGGCCCUAUGGGUUGUAAACUACUUUUGUCAGGGAAUAAACCUCUCGAUUCACUCGGGAGCUGAAGGUACCUGAAGAAUAAGCACCGGCUAACUCCGUGCCAGCAGCCGCGGUAAUACGGAGGGUGCAAGCGUUAUCCGGAAUCACUGGGUUUAAAGGGUGCGUAGGUGGCAUCGUAAGUCAGAAGUGAAAGUUUGCGGCUUAACCGUAAAAUUGCUUUUGAUACUGCAAUGCUUGAAUCAGGUUGAGGUUGGCGGAAUGUGGCAUGUAGCGGUGAAAUGCUUAGAUAUGCCAUAGAACACCGAUUGCGAAGGCAGCUGACUGGACCUGUAUUGACGCUGAGGCACGAAAGCGUGGGGAGCGGAACAGGAUUAGAUACCCUGGUAGUCCACGCCCUAAACGAUGCUCACUCGAUGUGUGACC
rnacentral:rRNA from 1 species